GAGGAAUUGGCGGCGGCUACACAUGCAGUCGAGCGGAUGAAGGGAGCUUGCUCCCUGAUUUAGCGGCGGACGGGUGAGUAAUGCCUAGGAAUCUGCCUGGUAGUGGGGGAUAACGUUCCGAAAGGAACGCUAAUACCGCAUACGUCCUACGGGAGAAAGCAGGGGACCUUCGGGCCUUGCGCUAUCUGAUGAGCCUAGGUCGGAUUAGCUAGUUGGUGAGGUAAUGGCUCACCAAGGCGACGAUCCGUAACUGGUCUGAGAGGAUGAUCAGUCACACUGGAACUGAGACACGGUCCAGACUCCUACGGGAGGCAGCAGUGGGGAAUAUUGGACAAUGGGCGAAAGCCUGAUCCAGCCAUGCCGCGUGUGUGAAGAAGGUCUUCGGAUUGUAAAGCACUUUAAGUUGGGAGGAAGGGCAUUAACCUAAUACGUUAGUGUUUUGACGUUACCGACAGGAUAAGCACCGGCUAACUUCGUGCCAGCAGCCGCGGUAAUACGAAGGGUGCAAGCGUUAAUCGGAAUUACUGGGCGUAAAGCGCGCGUAGGUGGUUCGUUAAGUUGGAUGUGAAAGCCCCGGGCUCAACCUGGGAACUGCAUCCAAAACUGGCGAGCUAGAGUACGGUAGAGGGUGGUGGAAUUUCCUGUGUAGCGGUGAAAUGCGUAGAUAUAGGAAGGAACACCAGUGGCGAAGGCGACCACCUGGACUGAUACUGACACUGAGGUGCGAAAGCGUGGGGAGCAAACAGGAUUAGAUACCCUGGUAGCCCACGCCGUAAACGAUGUCAACUAGCCGUUGGGUUCCUUGAGAACUUAGUGGCGCAGCUAACGCAUUAAGUUGACCGCCUGGGGAGUACGGCCGCAAGGUUAAAACUCAAAUGAAUUGACGGGGGCCCGCACAAGCGGUGGAGCAUGUGGUUUAGUUCGAAGCACGCGAGAACCUUACCUGGCCUUGACAUGCUGAGAACUUUCCAGAGAUGGAUUGUGCCUUCCGGGAACUCAGACCCAAAGUGCUG
rnacentral:rRNA from 1 species